rnacentral:lncRNA from 1 species
CUUGCUACAUCAACUAAAAUCCAUAAACUACCAUCUCGAUGGCAUAGACCUUUCUGCAUUUCUAUAGUGAUUUUUGAUACUACAUAUCGCCUUGAGUUUCCACCACAUAUUUGGAUCCAUCUAGUCUUCUAUGUUUUGCAAGUAAAGGAAUUUUAUAUCAAAUCAAAGCACUUUUGGAAUCAACAUCAACCACCACUACUAUCAAUUGUAGUUGAUAAUCAACAAGAAUGUGAAAUAGAUAGGAUUUUGGAGCAUCACUAUCUUUACAUGGUAGUGGACAUCUAUAACUUUAGAACAAAAUUCUUUAAAAAGAUUAUUCCAUCUAUAAUGUAAUAUUCUCGUAUUACAUGAAGUGUUGUUUGAUAGUGCACCAGGCACUUGGUUAUAGAAGGUAGAAUAGAAAUUACAAUAAAAAAAUCUUAAUUCCAAUAUAAUAUUAAAUAAAAUCUAAUUAAAAAUUAACAAUACUAAAUAAGCUUUAAUCAAAUUCAAAAGAACCUUAUAGAAAUUACAAAAAAAAAAUAAGAAAUCUUAAAGGAGUUGAAAGAUAAUCCACAAUAAACCUUAAAAGAAUCCUUAAGAAGCUUCAAAAAAUAUUAAAAUAAUUAUAAUAUAUCUUAAAUAAAUCUCAACUAAGUUUUAAUUUAAUCCUAGUUGAAACCUUAAUGAAUUUCAAUCAAAUUCUAGACAAACUCUAAACCCUAAAUCAAACCCUAAAAAAAGCCUUAAAAUCUAAACAAAUUCUAAAUCCUAAAUCCAAUCCUAAUCAAAUCCUAAAUCUUAAAUCAAAUUCUAAAAAAAUCCUAAAUCCCAAAUCAAACCCUAACCAAAUCCAAGACAAACUCCAAUUCUUAAUCAAAUCCAAGCCAAAUCCUAAAUCCUAAAUCAAACCCUAAUCAAAUCCUAAUCAAAUCUUAAAUCCUAAAUUCUAAAUGAAAUUCUAAUCAAAUCCUAACCAAAUCUUAAAUCCUAAAUCAAAUCUUAAUCAAAUUCUAAAAAAAUCCAAAUCCUAAAUAAAUCUUAAUCAAAUCCUAAACAAACUCCAACUUCUAAUCAAAUCCUAAUCAAAUCUUAAAUUCUAAAUCAUAAAUCAAAUCCUAAUCAAAUCUUAAAUUUUAAAUUCUAAAUCAAAUCCUAAUCAAAUCCUAAUCAAAUCUUAAAUCCUAAAUCCUAAAUCAAAUUCUAAUCAAAUCCUAACCAAAUCUUAAAUCCUAAAUCAAAUCUUAAUCAAAUUCUAAAAAAAUCCAAAUCCUAAAUAAAUCUUAAUCAAAUCCUAAACAAACUCCAACUUCUAAUCAAAUCUUAAUCAAAUCUUAAAUUCUAAAUCAUAAAUCAAAUCCUAAUCAAAUCUUAAAUUCUAAAUCCUAAAUCAAAUCCUAAUCAAAUCCUAAUUAAAUCCUAAUCAAAUCUUAAACCCUAAAAUAAAUCCUAAACAAAUCCUAUAUCCUAAAUCAAAUCCUAAUCAAAUCUUAAACCUUAAAUCAAAUCCUAAGGUAGUUUAGAAC